AAGAGGGGUUUUUUAGCCCCUGCGUAAUAUCGCCCCAACAGUUUAGCAUUGGAAUCGGAUAACAAGUGCCUGCGCUCGUUACCAGAGCUUAAACUUCCCAUUGCUUAAACUUCCCAGAGAGAGAAACCCCUGAAACCCCAGUAGCUCCUCCCCUUCUCUCUCUCUCAAACGCGCGCACACACUCUCUCUCUAGAAAUAGAUUUUCAGGUGGUGGUACUCGCCGCUUCAAAAAAUCUCGUGCCUCUGGUUUCCAAGGAGAUUCCAAAAGCGCUACUUCCUGUGGCGAACCGGCCGGUCCUCUCCUAAGUUCUCGAACUUUUGGAACAAAGUAAUUUCAAAGAUCUCAUUGUUGUAGUUGAAGGGCAAGACGCAACUCUUCAGGUUGGUGCUUGGAUUUCGGGGGCUUAUGUUGAUCGUCUACAUGUUGAGGUAGCUGCUGUCCCUGAGGAUGUUGGAACUGCUGGUGCUCUUCGGGCCAUUGCAGGUCAUCUGACUGCAAACGAUAUCUUGGUUGGAGUUCUCAUCUUCUACAGUGUUUGAGUUCAAGAAAAAAAAAGAUGGAAAUUCGUGCCCAUCUGAUGGACGCUCAUUUAUAUGCAUUCAAGAGAUCUGCUCUACGAGAAGUUCUUGAUCAAAAGGGGAGUUACCAAAGCUUAAGGCAAGAUGUACUGCCUUAUCUUGUCAGGAGCCAGCUGGUUGUUAAUUCAGUUGUGAUGAACCAUGCUAUCAAGGUUCCGUUAUUUGCAGUAAUGUACAGCUCCAAGAGCGUGUUGUUUUGAAGGACUAUCUGGUUUUGAAAGACUGUCUGGUUAAACCUGAAGAGUACCCUUGCCUCACAGGACUCUGUGUCUCGGACAAUAAUUGUAGCCUAGAAUUGCUCUUGUUUGUUGUACUUAUAAACAUUUUUAUCAAUUUUAGGUACAAUGUCUAUAGCAAUUUGUCAGAGGAAGUAGACUACAAGUGGUUGUGUUGAAAACAUUUUUGUAUUUCUGCAAUUCAUGUGCUUUCAAUGUGCAAGGGUUUUAUACUGUAUUUGUGCCAUCUACGUGCUUUCAAUGUGUAAGGGUUUUAUUCAUCCCAGUGAGGUUCGAGUACUUAGCCUCCGGUGAGCAUUUAGUCAGGGGACCCCAUUUUUGGUUCCUUUUUUAUUCGACGUGAAAAAGCCAUCUCAAUAAUUUUGGCACCCGCAGAGGAAUGGGAACAGCUCUUCCUUCUCCCUCUUAUUCUGUAGAUUGAUAUGGUCAGCUUAUCGAUAGGGAACAAAUGUUUCUAGCAAAGAGAAUUGGGUUCAAAUUGGGUAAUAAGGUCACUAUUUAUCUGAGAAUACCAAUUGUUAAUUGGCAAAUCUAGAAAAGCCAAUUCCAGUUUUUGAGGAUAAGAUGGACAAAAACAUGUGACCGGAAGCCUAAUGUCACGAAGUGAUUCCUAAGACGCUUGGAGGAUGGAAGACACGCAUGCUGGUUGGCAAAGAGCAUAGUUUGACUAGGAAUGGUUCCAGGGAAGGGGCGUGUAGGAGAACAGGAUGGUACCUCUUAAGAGUUUAAGCAGGUUGACUCGGUUCAGUUCGUGGUGUGUGUCGCUGGUCGUGGACUUGACUAUGAAGAAGGGAGUUAGCCAUCCCUGCACAAAUUGGUUGGGAGCUGGAGCCGUUCCCCUGAUGAGACCAAGGCAGGUCGAAACCAGUCAGCAUGUAUCUUUGGGAGGGCAGGUCGUAAUGGCUGACCAGGGCGCUUACGCGAGCUGAAGCAACGCCUUGGUGCUACACGGGCCGUGCCGCUGCGCCAAAUCUCUGGGUCUGUGACAAAUGGUAUCAGAGCAGGACUUGGGGUAAGGCACGGUGGGGUGCCCCCUUGUCGGUCUGGGAGGGGUCAGAGAAUGAAGACGGUGCACUGAAGCUGCGUCGAAGAGGAGGAAUCAAUGCAGUUGGGGGGGAGAGCCUCCAUCUCCCUAGGAAGAGGCGUCCGUUGAAGUUGCGCAUUGGAGGGCCGGAGGGCCGCGCGCACCAAAGUUCGUGCUUAGUCCGUGGGUGAUGCAAACCAUGGUGAAGGGCGAGCAUCAAAUCGGCAGGAGGCCAUUGCUUGCUCGGGAUGUCGUGGAGGCGGCAUGACGGAGAAGAGUCACGUCCUUGAGGAGUGGUGUCCUUGAGGAGUGGACGUCCCCUUGGUCCGAGGCUUAUCAUUGGGCGAGUGCAGUGCAGGGAGCUGCACAAGGAAGCGAUGGUAGGAAAACGAGCAUACCGCAUGGAGGCAGACUUUGGAAGAGAGUGGGCGCAGUAAUGAAGCGCCGCACUACGACGAGGGCGUCGCAGGAUUUAGGUGGGGGAGAAUGUCACGAAGUGAUUCCUAAGACGCUUGGAGGAUGGAAGACACGCAUGCUGGUUGGCAAAGAGCAGAGUUUGACUAGGAAUGGUUCCAGGGAAGGGGCGUGUAGGAGAACAGGAUGGUACCUCUUAAGAGUUUAAGCAGGUUGACUCGGUUCAGUUCGUGGUGUGUGUCGCUGGUCGUGGACUUGACUAUGAAGAAGGGA